UAUUUUUUUCUUCACUAGUAAAUACCUUCCCUGUUGACAGUCUAAUUUAUUUCCAGGUAAAAAGUUCAAGGCUGGAGUUUCCUUUGGGACCCAGAAAUGAGUUGCAGUGAUCAUGGCCAGGCAGAGAACACAUCUGCAGAAUAGCACAGGGCCAAUGAUGGGAUUCAGGCGAGGGACCCCAGGCCACUGGUCACUUCAUGGGGCACAAGCCAUAUUAUUUUCUCCUGAAAUAGUUUCCACUGAAUACACUCCUACUAACCCAAUUUGCAUGGUAUCGAGUGACUUUCUAGUAUCUCUGUUAUGAAGGUCACAGCACCCACGAUAAAAUUUUAAAGUACAUGAGUCUCAUGUUGUCAUAAAGCAAAAUAAAAACGAGU
rnacentral:lncRNA from 1 species